rnacentral:rRNA from 1 species
AUUGAACGCUGGCGGCAUGCCUUACACAUGCAAAUCGAACGGUAACGGGCCUUCGGGUGCCGACGAGUGGCGAACGGGUGAGUAAUACAUCGGAACGUGCCCGAUCGUGGGGGAUAACGAGGCGAAAGCUUUGCUAAUACCGCAUACGAUCUACGGAUGAAAGCCGGGGACCGCAAGGCCUUGCGCGGACGGAGCGGCCGAUGGCAGAUUAGGUAGUUGGUGGGAUAAAAGCUUACCAAGCCGACGAUCUGUAGCUGGUCUGAGAGGAUGAUCAACCACACUGGGACUGAGACACGGCCCAGACUCCUACGGGAGGCAGCAGUGGGGAAUUUUGGACAAUGGGCGCAAGCCUGAUCCAGCCAUGCCGCGUGCAGGAUGAAGGCCUUCGGGUUGUAAACUGAUUUUGUACGGAACGAAAAGCCUUCUUUUAAUACAGGAGGGUCAUGACGGUACCGUAAGAAUAAGCACCGGCUAACUACGUG